AGGGAACAAAGAGCCCCGAGGUGUGACAAGGCCUCUCAAUGCUCUUUGACUGCUCCAAGCAGGAGACAAAUCCCAUGGGAUCAAUGAUUAACACAGGCCUGACAUCCCCCAAAGCACGGGGGACCCCUCCCCCCUUCCCUUCCCUCCCCAGUCCAGGCUGGAGGGGAACUGGUGGCAAUGACUCAGGUGGGUGCCUGAGGCUGAUUUUCCCUGCGGGGUUUUCCCACUCACCGUCUCAUCGUCAGGGAUGGGGAUCUUGCUGUCGAAGUAGGUGGUGAACGGCUCCCCCUCGUCGCUGUCGGGGGGCUGCAGGGGGCUCCUGCUGCUGGAGAUGGUGCUGACCACCCCCCCGAGACCCCCAGGCUCCCCAGACACAUCCUCUGCAGGGAGAGAGGGAACGGGGGCAGUCAGCAUUCCUGGAGAGGCAGAAACGCUGCCAGGGGCUGCUGAGCCCCACAGGCACAGCCAGCCAGCACAGCCGAUGCUAAUUAAGUGAUAAAGAGGUGAUUAAAUUAAAAUAUCCCACACUGCUGCACCCCUUGGAGCCUGUUGUGUCCCCAGAAUCUCCUCUCCCACCCGGCUCCAGGCGGGAGCCAGGGAUUUAUUUAUUUAUUCCAAUUAAUUUUAAAAAUCCCCAUCCCAGGGCUGAUGAGGACCAGUGUCCCCAAAAUGAUUAACUGGGCUGGCUCAGCCAGGUCCCAGGGAAAUCUGGGACUGCUCCUGCACCAUUAUCCCAUCCUCUCCUGGCUGGAUCCCGGGGAAAUCCAACACCUGGACACUCAGGAGAUGCCACACAACCCCACACCUCUCCCAGCACCCAGAGAGUUCCAGCAGCUCCCAAAUGUGAGCAGCGAGGAAAGAGUGCAGGGCCACCCCAGCACAUUCCCAGCCUCUCCUGCAGCCAAACCUGGAUCCCAACUCCCAGCCAAACCUGGAUCCCAACUGUCCUGCAGCAAAACCUGGAUCCCAACUCCCAGAAAAACCUGGAUCCCAACUCUCUCCUGCAGCCAAACCUGGAUCCCAACUCUCCUGCAGCAAAACCUGGAUCCCAACUCCCAGCAAAACCUGGAUCCCAACUCUCUCCUGGAGCCAAACCUGGAUCCCAACUCUUUCCCAGCCAAACCUGGAUCCCAACUCUCUCCAAUCAAAACCUGGAUCCCAACUCUCCUGCAGCCAAACCUGGAUCCCAACUCCCAGCCAAACCUGGAUCCCAACUCUCUCCUGCAGCCAAACCUGGAUCACAACUCCCAGAAAAACCUGGAUCCCAACUGUCCUGCAGCAAAACCUGGAUCCCAACUCCCCCCAGCCAAACCUGGAUCCCAACUCUCCCCAGAAAAACCUGGAUCCCAACUCUCCUGCAAGCCAAUCCUCCAUCCCAGCUCUCCCCAAGCCCGUACUCACUCCUGCUCUCCCCACAGGACAUUUCCUUCCCUCGGGACAUUUCCUUCCCUCGGGACAUUUCCUUCCCUCGGGACUUUUCCUUCCCUCGGGACUUUUCCUUCCCUCGGGAGCUGCAGCUCUGGGCUCAGGGGGCUCAGACAGGGCAGAUCUUUGCCCAACUUUCCUAUUGCAUCACCAGCGGGCUCCUCCCAUUCCCGGCCUCCCAGAACCCUGCCAGGACCUCGUUUACAUAAAGGAUUUGGAGCUGCCCAGGUGUGCGGAGAUCGCUGCUCAGGAGAUUUCUCCCAGGACAUUCCUGCCCGGGCCAGGCUGGUUUGGCUGGUUCAGGCAGGCUGAGUGACCCCGGGGUGCUGCAAACCUCAGCCUGGCACCCCGGGGCUCUUCCAGCAAGCCAAAGAAGGGAAUUAAUGAAAGGAAGGAGGGUGAUGAGGGCAGCCCCCCCUGCCCCCUUUCCUGAGCCAGUCUCACCGUAGGACGCCUUCCGCUCCGUGUCCAAGUUUCCCAUGGUGGAGCCCUUCCCCUGCUCUGGGAACUGCUUCAAACUGGACACAUUGGCUGUGAAAAAGGGAAAAAUCCGGUCAGGAUGGAAAACCAGGGCUGGCAGGAGAGGGGGAUAGAGACAAAGUCACUUCCCAGGCUCUAUUUCAGCUCUGAGGAACCUCACAGUGAUGGACUCAACGUCCUGAGCUCUUUUCCAGCUCUGAGGGUCUCAGCAGGGAUGGGAGAGGGAAUUUAGGCUGGGACCUGCUAAGAAAGUCCUGCUGCUCUGCCCAUGGGAGCCCUGAGGGGCACCAACGUGCCAGGAGUGUCCACAGGCAGCUGGGGCUGAUUGUGAAACUCCGGAGGAGGAAACACACGGGGAAUUCCCUCCAUGUGGAAACCUUCUCUCAUCCCCCCUUCCCAGCACCUCCAGCACUGCCAAAUCCUCCCCUGCGCCCCCCAAACCCCUCCAGCACUGCCAAAUCCUCCCCUGCGCCCCCCAAACCCCUCCAGCACUGCCAAAUCCUCCCCUGCGCCCCCCAAACCCCUCCAGCACUCCCCAAGGCCCUGCCAGCCCCCCAGGCAGGGGGAAGUGGGUUAAGGGCAGGUUUAACUCCUCUAUCACAGCCUGGGCUUAAAUUCAACCCAUGCAGGAUCUGGAAUGGGGCUGGGGAGGGAGCUGGGGACGAGGAGGGAGCUGGGGACGAGGAGGGAUUUGGCAUCCUCUGGGCUCCAGGAGCUCAACCCCCCUCCAAGGCCAAGCCAGUGUCCCUCAGUGAUGACUUCUGGCCUGUAAAGCACCGAAUCCUCUGUCAAAUUCCAUCAGAUUUGAGGGAGAUUACCAUAAAACACGGGA
rnacentral:lncRNA from 1 species